rnacentral:rRNA from 1 species
GAUGAACGCUGGCGGCGUGCCUAAUACAUGCAAGUCGAGCGAACGGACGAGAAGCUUGCUUCUCUGAUGUUAGCGGCGGACGGGUGAGUAACACGUGGAUAACCUACCUAUAAGACUGGGAUAACUUCGGGAAACCGGAGCUAAUACCGGAUGAUAUUUUGAACCGCAUGGUUCAAAAGUGAAAGACGGUCUUGCUGUCACUUAUAGAUGGAUCCGCGCUGCAUUAGCUAGUUGGUAAGGUAACGGCUUACCAAGGCAACGAUGCAUAGCCGACCUGAGAGGGUGAUCGGCCACACUGGAACUGAGACACGGUCCAGACUCCUACGGGAGGCAGCAGUAGGGAAUCUUCCGCAAUGGGCGAAAGCCUGACGGAGCAACGCCACGUGAGUGAUGAAGGUCUUCGGAUCGUAAAACUCUGUUAUUAGGGAAGAACAGAUGUGUAAGUAACUGUGCACAUCUUGACGGUACCUAAUCAGAAAGCCACGGCUAACUACGUG